CAACAAAAUAGCGCUCCCAAAAUAACAACCGGUGCACAAGUUAUACCACAGUGAGGUGAAGCCCCAACUGCAGGACUACAAUAAUCAGGUAGGAUGGUAUUCCGGGUACUUAUCGUUCCGGUGUCCUCCACGUCACCUUCAGCUAGAUGGAAGGGUUCUCCUCAAAAAGGAUUCGGGAAUCCGGAUUUAAGUCAUAAUCGAGCAAUCACAGCAAGACCCCGAAAAUCGUGGCUCCAGGAGCUGCUGAAUUUUCCUUUAGCGUCCAGGCAAUGAAGCACCAAACGAAGGGAACUUGGUGGAAAACUCCGGAAAAUUCGCCAGGAAAUUGACAAUGGGGCACAAAUUGGUUCAUCGACGAGAAAAGUUGAAACUGUGAGAAUAUUUAAUCAUUUUACCUCUGGAUGGGCGAGGCUGCUUUAGAUAUUGAGGGUGUGGUGGCGUCCAAAAAAAAUCCAACAAACGUUGCGUGCUUUGCAAGCACCUUUUCCUCCGGUUUUUUCCAAAAUCCGACACAAUAAGUCGUUUGAGUCUCUCAAAGCUGAAAAUUCCGGGAACAGAAUUCGCACAACCACACAAGAAGGCAUUUUUUUGUGCCAUUGUCGAUUUUAGAUUUGUGUAACCUACCUGAUUAUUGUAGUCCUGCAGUUGGGGCUUCACCUCACUGUGGUAUAACUUGUGCACCGGUUGUUAUUUUGGGAGCGCUAUUUUGUUGGUUGGUUGCGUUAUCGCUUAUUUUCAUAUCACGUUACUGAUAAGACGCCGUUCGACUCAGCUGAUACGCUCUGCGUCUGAUAUAAGGUACGUUCACGAACAUCGGUUGACGAUAAAGUGCGCGAAAUAUAAUAACAACUUGGUCUUAUUUAUUUGUUUUUACAUUUAGUUGAUAUUGACUUACGUGUCACUCAUUGUGUGACAAUCUCACAACGUAACAAUUUCACCCUUGUACAACUUUCACUGUUUUUUUGGUUUUCAAUAAGCUUUAUCGAUUUUGGAUCUUCCUGGAUUAUAUUUUAGAAACACUAUUUGUUAUUAUCAUCAUUUAACUAGACUCUUUUUUUCUGUUUACCGUACAAUAUAGACUGCAGAUAUAAA